AGUGAACGCUGGCGGCAGGCCUAACACAUGCAAGUCGAGCGGCAGAAGGGUGCUUGCUCCCGGAUUCGGCGGCCGACGGGCGGGCAAUGCCUAGGAACCUGCCUGGCUGCUGGUGCGAACGUCCGGAAACGGGCGCAAAUACCCCAUACGCGCUGACGGCGUAAGGGUGGGAGCUGCGGAUCUCACGCUAUCAGAUGAGCCUAGGUCGGAUUAGCUAGUUGGUGGGGUAAAGGCCUACCAAGGCGACGAUCCGUAGCUGGUCUGAGAGGAUGAUCAGUCACACUGGAACUGAGACACGGUCCAGACUCCUACGGGAGGCAGCAGUGGGGAAUAUUGGACAAUGGGCGAAAGCCUGAUCCAGCCAUGCCGCGUGGGUGAAGAAGGUCUUCGGGUUGUAAAGCACUUUUGGUUGGAAGGAAGAGCAGUAAGUUAAUACCUUGCUGUUUUGACGUUACCAACAGAAUAAGCACCGGCUAACUUCGUG
rnacentral:rRNA from 1 species